GGUGGCUCAGUGGAUGAGUGCAUGCCUUGCAUGCAUGAGGCCCUGGGUUCAAUUCCUCAGCACCA
rnacentral:tRNA from 1 species